CCAGAUGUCAUUUAGCGCUUUAUUUUCAGCAUUGCCAUAGGUUGAUGUAAGUACACUACUAUUUUCAACAUUGGUAUUAAGUACACUACCAUUUAAAAAGUUUCAACGCAGCCACUUUAUACACAUAUUAUGAUAUUCAAAAAAUAAUAAUCGCAAGAAUAACAAUUAUUAUAAAAGUGUUUCUGCAUCCAGUGGCAGGGAAAAUAGUAGCAUAACAGAAAAAGUAAGAAUAUAGGUCAGGGACAGCAGCCAGGGAAGAGGUCAAAUCAGUGAAACUGUCAGUUGAAUAUAUAAUUAUUAUCAUUAUUAUUAUGUUGUUGUUGAUGAUGUUGAUUAUGAUUUAUUAAAAGGCUUGUUAAAUUAUUUUUAGAGUUACUGGUAUUAUGCUUUUUAAAUUACAUUUACAAUAAACUGUUAUUGUUUUAUUUAAAAUAAAGUGUCCCAGUUUGCCAGUAAGAACAAAAUUGUGGUCUAUAUGUGUUUGUGGAAGCAUUUUAAGUUUUUGUGUUUAAAUAUAUACUGGAUAGAUUAACUUUCAAAGUGUAUCUGGUUUUCAAACAAACAUGUUCUUUUCUCUUCUUCAAGUGUGAGCCGCUCUGGCUGAGGAUACUCUUCUUCUCCACUAAUUAAGUAACAGAGACAUUGAAUUUAUAAUCCAUAUUGUUAGAAUUUUUUUUAUAUAAUUACUUAUUUUUUUCCAAAAGAUGCCACACUCAUAAAAAGACGGCUCAUUAGGCCUACUGAUUUUCUGGAGUUCAGCUAGACUGUCAACACACUCUCAGCAGUUUAAGAGAACAGAUGCUGUCACAUCCUACAACCUCAUCAUCUGCAGAGAGAAACGGCCACUCAAUCACACCAAAAUAUACAGAAUGAUGGACUUGCAGCCCUCAUAGAGGAUUACGAAAAUACUGUAUUUCACUGGAACUUGGUCUUCAUUUCACUAUUUCCAGUUUCUAUUUUGUUUUACCUGGUGGUCUAGUGGUUAGGAUUCGGCACUCUCACUGCCACGGUCCGGGUUCGAUUCCCGGUCAGGGAAUGCUCUUUUGGCAGCUGUGGCCUAAUGGUUAGAAAGUCGGACUUGUAACCUGUAGGUCACAGGUUUGAGUCUUGGUGCUGGCAGGAGUUGUCGGUGGGUGGGGAGUGAAUGAACAGCACUCUCUUCUACCCUCAGUACCCAUGGCUGAAGUGCCCUUGAGCAAGGCAUUGAACCCCCAAUUGCUUCCCGGGCGCUGGAGCAAAAUAGCUGCCCACUGCUCUGGGUUGUGUGUUCAUGGUGUGUGUGUCUGUGUGUGCACUUGGAUGGGUUAAAUGCAGAGCACCACUUCUGAGUAUGGGUUACCAUAC